rnacentral:tRNA from 1 species
CUAAGGAAAAGUCUUGAAACAGCCUCUUCGCUUUCGCGAAGCGCGCAUAUUCAAGACUUAUCUUAGGCGAAAAGCGCCGAGCUUCGGCCCGGCGCGACUUUCAGGCGGGUCGCCGCCGUCUUCGUUUCUCUUUCUCGCUCGGCGCGCAUCGGCGCGUCGGCGGCGCGCUGGCGUUCGCGGCGGCGUUGCGCUAAGGAGCCCGCCUCGGGUCCGCGCCCGGGGGCCGGUAGCUCAGGUGGUUAGAGCGCACGCCUGAUAAGCGUGAGGUCGGUGGUUCAAGUCCACCUCGGCCCACCAAUGCGGCGCGGCAUCAAAUCGGGGCCAUAGCUCAGUUGGGAGAGCGGAAGCUUUGCAAAGCUUCAGGUCGCCGGUUCGAU